UACGUAGGGGGCAAGCGUUGUCCGGAUUUAUUGGGCGUAAAGAGCGUGUAGGCGGCCUGAAAGGUCAGGUGGGAAAACUCGAGGCUCAACCUCGAGACGUCGGUUGAAACCAUCUGGCUAGAGUCCGGAAGAGGAGUGUGGAAUUCCCGGUGUAGCGGUGAAAUGCGCAGAUAUCGGGAAGAACACCCGUGGCGAAGGCGGCACUCUGGGACGGUACUGACGCUGAGACGCGAAAGCGUGGGGAGCGAACAGG
rnacentral:rRNA from 1 species